ACCCUGAUUGUGCAUUCAUGCUGGAGCAUCUUUAUUUACUUGUGCUGCUGGUUUUUGUUGGAAUUUGUUUGCUCUCAAAAUUCGAUUUAAAAAGGCUUUGGAAAAUUUAGAAAAAAAAAGAAAAUCAGCUCGGCUUGGUGGCCUGCUGGCCGAGAGGCCAACCAGCCCAAUCCCCACCUCCUAUUUCGCUGACAGCUUGGGCCCGCGCGUCAGCUCCCUCUCCUCCACCUUCCUGCUUCCUGUUCCUAACCGAAUAGGAAACCGCCCGCUGAAUCCGUUCUAAAAUCUCGGAUUUCCUUGCUCUUAUCGCG
rnacentral:lncRNA from 1 species